AAUAGUGCACACACAAGCUACUGUGUGCAUUAUAAAUUCACAAUGUAGCUUUGCCUAGACAGGAGCUAGACUGAAUCUUGGUGUUUUCUCUGCAAAAUAAUGCUGAAUACUGAGUUUUCCUGCUAAUCUACAACAGUAUGGAUAUAGACGCAACAUGACAAAUGAGUAGUUUCCAUAUCGACCUCGUUCUUUAUCAUCAUCUUCACCAAUACAUCAACGCCACCAUCACCAUGUCUUUGACGUCGACCUCCGUUUUCGCGUUUAAACUUUGAAGAUUGUUGCGAACUCUAAUAAUGAAUUGGAUAUUGGCAUUAUCGACGUUUGUUCUGUUUUUGAACACUGUCGCAUCAAACUUUGAUUGAAGGUAAGAACCUCCUUUUUACCUUCUUCGAUUUGCGUUUCGUCGUUUGCAGGUCUGAUCCUGACUCCGACUAAAGAUGACCUAACCUAUCGUUUUGUCUUCAAUCACCCUCGACGUCAAACUCUAUACCGCGUUUCACCAUCGCCGAACACGGACUCCGCAACCGAUUGACAUUGCCGACUGGCCGAAUGACUUUCGUUCAUCAUUCAUUUUUUAACUGUAUAUGAUCACCGACAUCUACGAUCUGCCAAGAAGGCCUAGUCAACAAUUGUUUCUUAAAAUUUCGUCUUUCGACUGAAUUCGAGUACGACAUCGUCAACGAAUCUCGCACCUCCGCUGGAAGGACAGUUUGUAUAAUGUACUAUGUAAUUUGAAUAUGAGCGGCAGUCUUCCGCUAUAGAAAUAGACUAACCACUUUAUAAUAUUGUUGUGUGCUGAAAAUGUUUAGUGUCAUGUAUAAUGAUGUAACAAGCGGCAGUCUUCGCUAUAGAAAUAGACUUCAGUUUUCGACUGUAAAUUGUUUUAUAUAUUUUACGCGAGCUAGAUUUUAGCUCGUUUGAAUAAACGUUUUUUUUUUUAAAGUAAA